ensembl:rRNA 5S_rRNA 5S ribosomal RNA
GUCUAUGGCCAUACCACCCUGAACGUGCCUGAUCUCAUCUGAUUUCUGAAGCUAAGCAGGUUUGGGCUGCUUACUAUGUGGAUGGAAACAUGAUGAUUGUGUGAUCCUCCACACUCU